AUUGAACGCUGGCGGCAGGCUUAAAACAUGCAAGUCGAGCGAGCGGCGGACGGGUGAGUAAUGUCUGGGAAACUGCCUGAUGGAGGGGGAUAACGACUGGAAACGGUAGCUAAUACAGAAUACCAUCAGAUGUGCCCAGAUGGGAUUAGCUAGUAGGUGGGGUAAUGGCUCACAUAGGCGACGAGCCCGAGCUGGUCUGAGAGGAUGACACGCCACACUGGAACGGGGACAGGGUCCAGACUCCUACGGGAGGCAGCGGUUGGGAAUAUUGCACAAUGGGCGAAGGCUUGAUGCAGCCAUGCCGCGUGUGUGAAGAGGGCUUUCGGGGUGUAAGUCACUUUCAGCGAGGAGGCGUUACUCGCAGAAGAAGCACCGGCUAACUCCGUGCCAGCAGCCGCGGUAAUAC
rnacentral:rRNA from 1 species